rnacentral:rRNA from 1 species
GACGAACGCUGGCGGCGUGCUUAACACAUGCCAGUCGAACGGAAAGGCCCUGCUUUUGUGGGGUGCUCGAGUGGCGAACGGGUGAGUAACACGUGAGUAACCUGCCCUUGACUUUGGGAUAACUUCAGGAAACUGGGGCUAAUACCGGAUAGGAGCUCCUGCUGCAUGGUGGGGGUUGGUAAGUUUCGGCGGUUGGGGAUGGACUCGCGGCUUAUCAGCUUGUUGGUGGGGUAGUGGCUUACCAAGGCUUUGACGGGUAGCCGGCCUGAGAGGGUGACCGGCCACAUUGGGACUGAGAUACGGCCCAGACUCCUACGGGAGGCAGCAGUGGGGAAUAUUGCACAAUGGGCGGAAGCCUGAUGCAGCAACGCCGCGUGCGGGAUGACGGCCUUCGGGUUGUAAACCGCUUACGCCUGUGACGAAGCGUGAGUGACGGUAAUGGGUAAAGAAGCACCGGCUAACUACGUG